rnacentral:rRNA from 1 species
CCUACGGGAGGCAGCAGUGAGGAAUAUUGGUCAAUGGACUUACGCCUGAACCAGCCAAGUCGCGUGCAGGAAGACUGCCCUAUGGGUUGUAAACCUCUUUUGUCAGGGAGCAAUUGGCGCUACGUGUAGCGUUAUCGAGAGUAACUGAAGAAAAAGCAUCGGCUAACUCCGUGCCAGCAGCCGCGGUAAUACGGAGGGUGCGAGCGUUAAUCGGAAUUACUGGGGGUAAAGGGUGUGCAGGCGGCUGAGUAAGACAGAUGUGAAAUCCCCGGGCUUAACCUGGGAAUCGCAUAUGGGACUGCAUGGCUAGAGUGCGUCAGAGGGAGGCGGAAUUCCUGGUGUAGCAGUGAAAUGCGUAGAUAUGUGGAAGAACACCGAUGGCGAAGGCAGGUUCCUGGGACGCAACUGACGCUGAUACACGAAAGCGUGGGGAUCAAACAGGAUUAGAUACCCCGGUAGUC